GACGAACGCUGGCGGCGUGCCUAAUACAUGCAAGUAGAACGCUGAAGAGAGGAGCUUGCUCUUCUUGGAUGAGUUGCGAACGGGUGAGUAACGCGUAGGUAACCUGCCUUGUAGCGGGGGAUAACUAUUGGAAACGAUAGCUAAUACCGCAUAACAAUGGAUGACACAUGUCAUUUAUUUGAAAGGGGCAAUUGCUCCACUACAAGAUGGACCUGCGUUGUAUUAGCUAGUAGGUGAGGUAACGGCUCACCUAGGCGACGAUACAUAGCCGACCUGAGAGGGUGAUCGGCCACACUGGGACUGAGACACGGCCCAGACUCCUACGGGAGGCAGCAGUAGGGAAUCUUCGGCAAUGGGGGCAACCCUGACCGAGCAACGCCGCGUGAGUGAAGAAGGUUUUCGGAUCGUAAAGCUCUGUUGUAAGUCAAGAACGAGUGUGAGAGUGGAAAGUUCACACUGUGACGGUAGCUUACCAGAAAGGGACGGCUAACUACGUGCCAGCAGCCGCGGUAAUACGUAGGUCCCGAGCGUUGUCCGGAUUUAUUGGGCGUAAAGCGAGCGCAGGCGGUUUGAUAAGUCUGAAGUUAAAGGCUGUGGCUCAACCAUAGUUCGCUUUGGAAACUGUCAAACUUGAGUGCAGAAGGGGAGAGUGGAAUUCCAUGUGUAGCGGUGAAAUGCGUAGAUAUAUGGAGGAACACCGGUGGCGAAAGCGGCUCUCUGGUCUGUAACUGACGCUGAGGCUCGAAAGCGUGGGGAGCGAACAGGAUUAGAUACCCUGGUAGUCCACGCCGUAAACGAUGAGUGCUAGGUGUUGGAUCUUUUCCGGGAUUCAGUGCCGCAGCUAACGCAUUAAGCACUCCGCCUGGGGAGUACGACCGCAAGGUUGAAACUCAAAGGAAUUGACGGGGGCCCGCACAAGCGGUGGAGCAUGUGGUUUAAUUCGAAGCAACGCGAAGAACCUUACCAGGUCUUGACAUCCCGAUGCUAUUUCUAGAGAUAGAAAGUUACUUCGGUACAUCGGUGACAGGUGGUGCAUGGUUGUCGUCAGCUCGUGUCGUGAGAUGUUGGGUUAAGUCCCGCAACGAGCGCAACCCCUAUUGUUAGUUGCCAUCAUUCAGUUGGGCACUCUAGCGAGACUGCCGGUAAUAAACCGGAGGAAGGUGGGGAUGACGUCAAAUCAUCAUGCCCCUUAUGACCUGGGCUACACACGUGCUACAAUGGUUGGUACAACGAGUUGCGAGUCGGUGACGGCAAGCUAAUCUCUUAAAGCCAAUCUCAGUUCGGAUUGUAGGCUGCAACUCGCCUACAUGAAGUCGGAAUCGCUAGUAAUCGCGGAUCAGCACGCCGCGGUGAAUACGUUCCCGGGCCU
rnacentral:rRNA from 1 species